UCGUGUCGUGAGAUGUUGGUUAAGUCCCGCAACGAGCGCAACCCUUAUCUUUAAUUGCCAGCAUUCAGUUGGGCACUUUAAGAGACUGCCGGUGUUAAACCGGAGGAAGGUGGGGAUGACGUCAAGUCCUCAUGGCCUUUAUGCUUAGGGCUACACACGUGCUACAAUGGGUGGUACAAAGAGAAGCCAACUCGCGAGAGCGCGCCAAUCUCAAAAAGCCAUCCUCAGUGCGGAUUGGAGUCUGCAACUCGACUCCAUGAAGUUGGAAUCGCUAGUAAUCGCGGAUCAGCAUGCCGCGGUGAAUACGUUCCCGGGCCUU
rnacentral:rRNA from 1 species